UACGGGAGGCAGCAGUGGGGAAUAUUGCACAAUGGGCGCAAGCCUGAUGCAGCCAUGCCGCGUGUAUGAAGAAGGCCUUCGGGUUGUAAAGUACUUUCAGUCGUGAGGAAGGUGUUAAGGUUAAUAACCUUAGCAAUUGACGUUAGCGACAGAAGAAGCACCGGCUAACUCCGUGCCAGCAGCCGCGGUAAUACGGAGGGUGCGAGCGUUAAUCGGAAUUACUGGGCGUAAAGGGCACGCAGGCGGUUAAUUAAGUUGGAUGUGAAAUCCCCGGGCUUAACCUGGGAAUGGCAUUCAAGACUGGUUAGCUAGAGUCUUGUAGAGGGGGUAGAAUUCCAUGUGUAGCGGUGAAAUGCGUAGAGAUGUGGAGGAAUACCGGUGGCGAAGGCGGCCCCUGGACAAAGACUGACGCUCAUGUGCGAAAGCGUGGGGAGC
rnacentral:rRNA from 1 species